rnacentral:lncRNA from 1 species
AACGGCGGAAGGAUCCGGGAGGCGCCCUGGCGGCCCCAAUGAGAAAGGCCGGUUUUCCUCCUGGGCUGCAAUGACGUCAUGGUGUUAACCUGCAUUUGGGGCGGGUCCUUAAGGGGGAUGGGGGUGUCUUGCAGACAGCUUCAGGGUCUCCCCAGUGCUCAGCCAUGUGCCCGACCCUCAGGCCAGACCAGCAUUCCUGGCGCUUACAGAGUGAACCCGAAAACAAACAGCAUGGGGCUGGCCGUCUGAUUCAGACUUGGGAUGCUUGGACUUGUAAUUUCCAAACCAGAUAUGAUAUACCAAUAGGAACAAGGAAUAAAACUUGGGAUGCCAAAGGGAGAUGUCUGAUGAAGCACCUGUCCAUGUAAAUAAGUGAAAACCAAAUGGGGGAAAAGGUACAGCAUAGAACAUCAUGAGU